rnacentral:rRNA from 1 species
UACGUAGGGGUCGAGCGUUGUCCGGACUUACUGGCGUAAAGCGUGGUAGGUGGCCGAUGAUGUGCCGUGUGAAAGCGCCGCGCUUCUCGCGGCGAGGUCGCGGUAGACACAUCGGCUCGAGGCACGGAGAGGGCGUAGAAUUCCCGGUGUAGUGGUGAAAUGCGCAGAUAUCAGGAGGAACACCGGUGGCGAAGGCGGUUCUCUGGGCAUGUCCUGACGCUGAGGAGCGAAAGUGUGGGGAGCGAACAGG